rnacentral:tRNA from 1 species
GGCGUGGUACUUUAAAGAAAAGAUUUGAUUUGCAUUCAAAAAUUAGGAUUUUUCCUUUACGCUA